UAUUGGACAAUGGGCGAAAGCCUGAUCCAGCAAUGCCGCGUGAGUGAUGAAGGCCUUAGGGUUGUAAAGCUCUUUUACCCGGGAUGAUAAUGACAGUACCGGGAGAAUAAGCUCCGGCUAACUCCGUGCCAGCAGCCGCGGUAAUACGGAGGGAGCUAGCGUUGUUCGGAAUUACUGGGCGUAAAGCGCACGUAGGCGGCUUUGUAAGUUAGAGGUGAAAGCCUGGAGCUCAACUCCAGAAUUGCCUUUGAUACUGCAUCGCUUGAAUCCAGGAGAGGUGAGUGGAAUUCCGAGUGUAGAGGUGAAAUUCGUAGAUAUUCGGAAGAACACCAGUGGCGAAGGCGGCUCACUGGACUGGUAUUGACGCUGAGGUCGAAAA
rnacentral:rRNA from 1 species